rnacentral:rRNA from 1 species
UACGUAGGGGCCAAGCGUUGUCCGGAUUUAUUGGGCGUAAAGAGCUCGUAGGCGGUUCGGCAAGUCAGCUGUGAAAUCUCCACGCUCAACGUGGAGGGGUCAGCUGAUACUGCUGUGACUUGAGUCCGGUAGGGGAGUGUGGAAUUCCCGGUGUAGCGGUGAAAUGCGCAGAUAUCGGGAGGAACACCAAUGGCGAAGGCAGCUCGCUGGGACGGUACUGACGCUGAGACGCGAAAGCGUGGGGAGCAAACAGG